rnacentral:rRNA from 1 species
GUGGGGAAUAUUGGACAAUGGGCGCAAGCCUGAUCCAGCCAUGCCGCGUGAGUGAUGAAGGCCCUAGGGUUGUAAAGCUCUUUCACCGGUGAAGAUAAUGACGGUAACCGGAGAAGAAGCCCCGGCUAACUUCGUGCCAGCAGCCGCGGUAAUACGAAGGGGGCUAGCGUUGUUCGGAAUUACUGGGCGUAAAGCGCACGUAGGCGGACAUUUAAGUCAGGGGUGAAAUCCCGGGGCUCAACCCCGGAACUGCCUUUGAUACUGGGUGUCUGGAGUAUGGAAGAGGUAAGUGGAAUUCCGAGUGUAGAGGUGAAAUUCGUAGAUAUUCGGAGGAACACCAGUGGCGAAGGCGGCUUACUGGUCCAUUACUGACGCUGAGGUGCGAAAGCGUGGGGAGCAAACAGGAUUAGAUACCCGAGUAGUCC